rfam:Clostridiales bacterium GWD2_32_19 gwd2_scaffold_446, whole genome shotgun sequence.
CUGGUGCAAUAAACAAGUGAGAGGUUAUUGUUCACGGACAAUACCGAGUACAUCGCACCAAAGGAACCUUAUUCCUACCUUUUGAAACAUAUUGGUGAAAACAUAAACAGCAAGUCCUUGCUAGUAGCAAUAUGCGAAUGUAAGGGCUUGCG